rnacentral:rRNA from 1 species
UACGUACUGGGCGAACGUUAUUCGGAAUCACUGGGCUUAAAGGGUGCGUAGGCGGCUUUCCAGGUCCGGUGUGAAAUCUUACGGCUCAACCGUAAAAUUGCGCUGGAAACCGGAAGGCUUGAGUGUGCUAGGGGUGUGUGGAACUUCCAGUGGAGCGGUGAAAUGUGUUGAUAUUGGAAGGAACGCCGGUGGCGAAAGCGACACACUGGGGCACAACUGACGCUGAGGCACGAAAGCUAGGGUAGCGAACGGG